rnacentral:snRNA from 1 species
GGAUGUGAGGGUGAUAUGGCUGUGACAUCUGUCACUCAUUGAUCACCAGGGUUCAUUGGGCUGAUCCGGCUGGCUAGGCGGGUUUCCCCUUCCUCCCCCACUGUUCCAUGUGUGUCCCUCUUGAAGCGGUGUGGUAGGUCAAAGAAGACAACCUUCCCCAACAGAGGAGGACCGUUCUUGGGUCAAGGUUAUACGAGUAGCUGCGCUGCCCUGCUAGAACCUCCAAACAAGCUCUCAAGGUCCAUUUGUAGGAAAACAUAGGGUAGUCAAGCUUCCAAGACUCCAGGCACAUCCAAAUGAGGCACUGCAUGUGGCAGCCUGCCUUUCUUU